UACGUAAGUGGCGAGCGUUAUCCGGAAUUACUGGGUGUAAAGGGUGUGUAGGCGGCCUUUUAAGUCCUGUGUUAAAUCCCACGGCUUAACUGUGGGCUUGCGCGGGAAACUGGAAGGCUUGAGUAGAGGAGAGGUAACUGGAAUUCCUAGUGUAGCGGUGAAAUGUGUAGAUAUUAGGAAGAACACCAGUGGCGAAGGCGGGUUACUGGCCUCUUACUGACGCUGAGACACGAAAGCCGGGGGAGCAAACAGG
rnacentral:rRNA from 1 species